rnacentral:rRNA from 1 species
GAGUUUGAUCCUGGCUCAGGAUGAACGCUAGCGGCAGGCUUAAUACAUGCAAGUCGAGGGGCAGCAGGAGUAGCAAUACUUGCUGGCGACCGGCAAACGGGUGCGGAACACGUACAGAACCUUCCUUCGAGCGGGGCAUAGCCCGGAGAAAUCCGGAUUAAUACCCCAUGGUAAAUUGAAGAGGCAUCUCUUUGAUUUUAGAGAUUUAUCACUUGAAGAUGGCUGUGCGCCUGAUUAGGUAGUUGGCGGGGUAACGGCCCACCAAGCCUUCGAUCAGUAACUGGCGUGAGAGCGCGACCAGUCACACGGGCACUGAGACACGGGCCCGACUCCUACGGGAGGCAGCAGUAAGGAAUAUUGGUCAAUGGACGCAAGUCUGAACCAGCCAUGCCGCGUGGAGGAUGAAGGCCCUCUGGGUUGUAAACUUCUUUUAUUUGGGACGAAAAAAGGGAUUACUUUCCGUCUGACGGUACCAGAUGAAUAAGC